rfam:Human gut metagenome DNA, contig sequence: In-R_026739.
CUUGAAGUCCAAUUGUGAUAGUUCUUAGACUUUUCCUCAACUACCCAGCUAUCCACAGACACGGAUGUCUGUGGAAGUUCGAUAUGGGACACGGAUGUCCCGUAUCGAACGGUAGCGGCAACUACCGUUACCUAUAUGAAAAGUCUCAGAAAUAUCCAAUUGGAGCUUCUG